rnacentral:rRNA from 1 species
GAUCUCCCCCCUGGCGGGGGACAACCGUGGGAAACCACGGCUAAUACCGCAUACAGCGGCGGGCUUUCGGGCCGGUCGUGAAAGCUGGCCUCUUCCUUAAGCCAGCGCCGGGGGAUGAGCUCGCGUCCUAUCAGCCGGCUGGUGAGGUAAGGGCUCACCAGGGCGAUGACGGGUAGCUGACGUGAGAGCGUGGUCAGCCACACUGGGACUGAGACACGGCCCAGACUCCUACGGGAGGCAGCAGUGGGGAAUCUUGCACAAUGGGGGCAACCCUGAUGCAGCGACGCCGCGUGUGGGAGGAAGGCCUUCGGGUUGUAAACCACUGUCGGGCGGGACGAGCCGGGGGUCGUCGAACAGGCGGCUCCUCCGACGGUACCGCCCAUAGGAAGCUCCGGCUAACUCCGUGCCAG